CCUACGGGAGGCAGCAGUGGGGGAUAUUGCACAAUGGGGGAAACCCUGAUGCAGCGACGCCGCGUGGGUGAAGAAGCGCCUCGGCGCGUAAAGCCCUGUCAGCAGGGAAGAAAAUGACGGUACCUGAAGAAGAAGCCCCGGCUAACUACGUGCCAGCCGCCGCGGUAAUACGUAGGGGGCAAGCGUUAUCCGGAUUUAAUGGGUGUAAAGGGGGCGCAGGCGGCGAUGCAAGCCAGGAGGGAAAGCCCGGGGCCCAACCCCGGGACUGCUCUUGGAACUGCGUGGCUAGAGUGCAGGAGGGGCAGGCGGAAUUCCUGGUGUAGCGGUGAAAUGCGUAGAUAUCAGGAGGAACACCGGUGGCGAAGGCGGCCUGCUGGACUGCAACUGACGUUGAGGCCCGAAAGCGUGGGGAGCAAACAGGAUUAGAUACCCCAGUAGUC
rnacentral:rRNA from 1 species